AGGGUUAACAGGUCUCAGAGUUCACAGCAGAGUCAAACUACAGACCACAGCAGCAACCAGCUGGAAGAUCAAUACAACACAUACGCUUCUCCGUUCCAAGGUGAAUCUGAUAAUGUGACAUAUUCUUCAAUCAAACUUGAAAAGGUCAAAAAUGUGAAGAAGAAGAAGGAACCAGAAGAGAGCACUGUUUAUGCUGAUGUGAAGACCACAUCAUCUCAAGAUGAUGAAGUGACCUAUGCUCAAGUAAUCCCCAGUAAAUGUAAAGCAAAAGGAAAGAAAGGUACGA